rnacentral:misc_RNA from 1 species
GGGGAAUUUUCCGCAAUGGGCCGCAAGCUGACGGAGCAAUACCGCGUGAGGGAGGACGGCUUUUGGGUUGUAAACCUCUUUUGUCAGGGAAGAAGAUCUGACGGUACCUGACGAAUCAGCAUCGGCUAACUCCGUGCCAGCAGCCGCGGUAAUACGGAGGAUGCAAGCGUUAUCCGGAAUUAUUGGGCGUAAAGCGUCCGCAGGUGGUACAUCAAGUCUGCUGUUAAAGCGUGGAGCUUAACUCCAUAACGGCGGUGGAAACUGAUGCACUAGAGUUCGGUAGGGGUCACGGGAAUUCCCAGUGUAGCGGUGAAAUGCGUAGAUAUUGGGAAGAACAUCAGCGGCGAAAGCGCGUGACUGGACCGAUACUGACACUCAUGGACGAAAGCUAGGGGAGCGAAAGGGAUUAGAUACCCCUGUAGUCCUAGCCGUAAACGAUGGGUACUAGGUGUUGCCCGUAUCGACCCGGGCAGUGCCGUAGCUAACGCGUUGAGUACCCCGCCUGGGGAGUACGCACGCAAGUGUGAAACUCAAAGGAAUUGACGGGGGCCCGCACAAGCGGUGGAGUAUGUGGUUUAAUUCGAUGCAACGCGAAGAACCUUACCAGGGCUUGACAUGUCGCGAAUCUCGGUGAAAGUCGAGAGUGCCUUCGGGAGCGCGAACACAGGUGGUGCAUGGCUGUCGUCAGCUCGUGUCGUGAGAUGUUGGGUUAAGUCCAGCAACGAGCGCAACCCUCGUCGUUAGUUGCCAGCAUUUGGUUGGGCACUUUAGCGAGACUGCCGGUGACAAACCGGAGGAAGGUGGGGAUGACGUCAAGUCAGCAUGCCCCUUACGUCCUGGGCUACACACGUACUACAAUGCUGUGGACAAAGAGUUGCCAACUCGCGAGAGUGAGCUAAUCUCGGAAACCACGGCUCAGUUCAGAUUGCAGGCUGCAACUCGCCUGCAUGAAGGAGGAAUCGCUAGUAAUCGCAGGUCAGCAUACUGCGGUGAAUACGUUCCCGGGCCUUGUACACACCGCCCGCCACACCAUGGGAGUUGGCCACGCCCGAAGUCGUUACUCCAACCGCUUGCGGAGGAGGACGCCGAAGGCAGGGCUGAUGACUGGGGUGAAGUCGUAACAAGGUAGCCGUACCGGAAGGUGUGGCUGGAUCACCUCCUUUUUAGGGAGACCUUACCCACUCGACAUUAAAUGCAUUGCGCUAUUAGAUGCGAGUUUGGUUAAUCCCAAGGUCGGUCGAGGUGUGGUGUUGGCCUUCAAACGACUGGCUUGGUUCAUGGGCUAUUAGCUCAGGUGGUUAGAGCGCACCCCUGAUAAGGGUGAGGUCCCUGGUUCGAGUCCAGGAUGGCCCACCUUGUGCUUGACAUCAAGCGCGAAUGGGGGUUUAGCUCAGUUGGUAGAGCGCCUGCUUUGCAAGCAGGAUGUCAGCGGUUCGAGUCCGCUAACCUCCACUGAGAGCAUGAGCUUUCAAACAUACUGCAAAUUGAUUUUAGCAACUCAUCUGCGUUUAGAUUUGCUAGACUAGAGAGCCUGCUGGAAUUUAUCCAGUGAUGAACCUCGAAAACUGCAUAGUAACUUGUCAGGUAGGAAAGUGAUGAGCGUGAGUUGCGUUACUGCAAUGGCACUCAGAGCUUUCAAAUCACAGACACCAAUGAAACUUUUUAGUGGUCAAGCUAGAAAGGGCUAACGGUGGANACNNAGGCACACAGAG